rnacentral:rRNA from 1 species
UACGUAUGGUGCAAGCGUUAUCCGGACUUACUGGGCGUAAAGGGAGCGCAGGCGGCGCGCCAAGUCUGAUGUGAAACCCCGGGGCUCAACCCCGGGCAUGCAUUGGAAACUGGCGGGCUGGAGUGCCGGAGAGGUAAGCGGAAUUCCUAGUGUAGCGGUGAAAUGCGUAGAUAUUAGGAGGAACACCAGUGGCGAAGGCGGCUUACUGGACGGCAACUGACGCUGAGGCUCGAAAGCGUGGGGAGCAAACAGG